GCCGCUGUAGCCCAGUUGGUAGAGGCGUCGCCAGUACAGCAGUACAGAUGGCGAAGGUCUCUGGUUCAAAUCCAGCCUGCGGUG